GAAAGAUGAACCAAGUAUAACUAUUGAUGAUUGAUGAGAUCUGCCGUCUGUUGUUUUGGGGAUUUCAAGUGUUACAAUGGAGGCAUCAAGCAGGAGUGACUAUUUUCCUUCAGUUUUCAAUUAGUUAAUUAUAUACAUUACUGUUUUGUUUUUGAAUCGGUUGGUUGUAUUAGAUUUUUGGUUGUACUUUUAAUAUUGGUUUGGACUAUUAAAUUUCUUUUUUAUAUUUUGAACAAGUUAAAGUUCUUAUUCAAUAUCAUCUGGGUUUAUUUUAUGGA